rnacentral:rRNA from 1 species
GAUGAACGCUAGCGGCAGGCCUAAUACAUGCAAGUCGAACGGUAAAUAUUAUAGCAAUAUGAUAUGAGAGUGACGCACGGGUGCGUAACACGUAUGCAACCUACCCUUUACAGGAGUAUAGCUCGGGGAAACUCGAAUUAACACUUCAUAGUAUAAUUGAAUGGCAUCAUUUGAUUAUUAAAUCUGCGGAGGUAAAGGAUGGGCAUGCGUCUGAUUAGCUAGUUGGUAGUGUAAUGGACUACCAAGGCGAUGAUCAGUAGGGAACUGAGAGGUUGAUCCCCACACUGGCACUGAGAUACGGGCCAGACUCCUACGGGAGGCAGCAGUAGGGAAUAUUGGUCAAUAGGUGAGAGCCUGAACCAGCCAUGCCGCGUGCAGGAAGACGGCCUUCUGGGUUGUAAACUGCUUUUGCCAGGGGCUAAAGGCCCAUGCGUGGGAAAUUGAAAGUACCUGGUGAAUAAGCCACGGCUAACUACGUGCCAGCAGCCGCGGUAAUACGUAGGUGGCAAGCGUUGUCCGGAUUUAUUGGGUUUAAAGGGUGCGUAGGCGGCCU